rnacentral:lncRNA from 1 species
AUCUUGUUGACUCGAAGGAAAUCUGGAGCUAAAAUCGGAAGAUGACCUCCGAAUGGACCUUGUGGUCAAGCUCUCUCUCAAGCUCAGCCUCUAUAUGUAUCCUUUCAGAGGUUUAUAUUGAUUUAAAGCCAUUCAAUUAUUAAAAUAUUUAUUGGAUUUUGCGUUGUGGUGGGUGGUCAUGGGCGGGAUGGGGUAUACUUGUGACCUUUGCACACCCGCAAGGAAAUCCUCCAAAACUCAUGAUGUUGGUCAACUGAGUUUAUCAAUGUCUUUGAGACAGGAUGUCACAUGAUCGACAUCACUAUAAAUGAAUCACAGAAGGUCCUCAACUUCUUUAUGGAAAAUGAAUUCCAGGCUGGAUUCUAAAAGUGACACGAAUGCUGGGACCGGGGUAUUGCUGUGUAAGGUGACUAUUUCAAAGGAGAUGAUGUUAAAACUUAGGAUGGAGAUGAGAAGCAAUGUUUCCAUGUGGCAGGGCUGAUAUUGUUGAGAGACUACUCUCUACCAUUAUUGGUAGCUUUGUUAACAACGAAGAAUAUUUAUCCACCAACGCGGUAUUGAGCCUUCAUUCACACUGUUCGAUAUUAGCGUGUGUGUUGAGGAAUGACAUCAGAAGAGACGCUAGGUAUUAUUAAAUUAAAAUCUUUAAACAAAAAUAUGAAACUUUCAAUGGUUAUACUUCAUGACUUGAAGUUUGAAGCUCAAACUUAUUUGAAUAUCGGACGGGAAAUCACAAUGAAAAUCUUAGCAACUUUUUUGUAAAUGGUUUGUUUUAUUAAUCUUGCUUUUUGGUAGGAAUAAAGCCAGAGCAAGGGGCAUAACUCGUUACAUAUUAAUGUUGGUUGUCAGGAAUAAGUUCCCUUGGGACUUUUGUUAAAGAAUUUCUGUAACGUGACCUCUGUGACUAUAUUUUAUGCUUUAAGGGUUCCAGUUCCCCAUUCGGGGCUUUAAUUAUGGCUGUGUGUGCUGUAUUCAUCGUAGAUGAAAAGUGACGGAGAUUGUUGUAGUGCACCUGAGCACUGUUUACAAUAAUUUCAUUAUUAUUAUAUCUAACAUAAAAAUUUUAGUCAUUCAUUAAAUUAUACUGUAAAUCCCAUUUAUUCAUUAGCAAAAAUGUUAAUGAAUUGGAAAUCAAAUAUAUUUUAAAUUGCAGAAAUAUCAGCCAUGACAGAAACUUUGGUAAAUUUUUAUAUUAACACCCGCACGAUUUUCACAAAGAAGAAAAAAAAAACUCG